UACGGAGGGUGCAAGCGUUGUCCGGAAUCAUUGGGUUUAAAGGGUGCGUAGGCGGUCCUUUAAGUCAGAGGUGAAAUCCCACAGCUUAACUGUGGAACUGCCUUUGAUACUGGAGGACUUGAGUACGGUUGAGGUAUGUGGAAUUUAUGGUGUAGCGGUGAAAUGCAUAGAUACCAUAAAGAACACCAAUUGCGUAGGCAGCAUACUGGGCCGUAACUGACGCUGAGGCACGAAAGCGUGGGGAGCGAACAGG
rnacentral:misc_RNA from 1 species